rnacentral:rRNA from 1 species
CACGUAGGAGGCGAGCGUUGUCCGGAAUCAUUGGGCGUAAAGAGCGCGCAGGCGGCUUGGCAAGUCGGGUGUGAAAUCCCGGGGCUCAACCCCGUGACUGCAUUCGAUACUGUCAGGCUAGAGGUAGGUAGGGGAGAUCGGAAUUCCUGGUGUAGCGGUGAAAUGCGCAGAUAUCAGGAGGAACACCGAUUGCGAAGGCAGCUCGCUGGGACGUUACUGACGCUGAGACGCGAAAGCGUGGGGAGCAAACAGG